CCAUGAAUUGAAACUGAUGAUUGUUCCCAUCUUUUCUAGCAACCUUGCACUAUGUCCCCACUCAAAAGAGCUCAGAAGCAUUUGAACAUUUUUUUUCACAAGCGACAGCAUAAAGCAAAUGAGCUUAGGCCUUUGCCUUAAAACACUAGGUUCCUGCCAUGAGUCACUUUCUACCUUCAUAGCCCCUACAUUUGCCAGUAAUCAAUUAAUAGCCAGGGUAGGUGAGGAAUCGCUUUGUGUUCGUGUAGAGAAUAUCA
rnacentral:misc_RNA from 1 species